rnacentral:tRNA from 1 species
AUUGUGUUAGUUUAAAAAAAAUUUCAUUCUGUGAAAAUGGAGAUUCUUACUGGACAUAAUA